ACUAUUCACCUGCUCUGCUUCCUGGCAACCAUGAACUAAGGAUCUUUGCUCUACCAUGAUGUUCCUGCUUUAGAGCUAACCAGUUAUGGACUAAAAGCCCUGAAACUGCACACUCCAAGUGGUUUCGCACUGUGGGCUCCUGUACAUGUGCCUCAGAACUGACCAGAGGGUUAUCCACAGCUUCUAAGGCCACCACCCUUUUUCAAGUGGAAUAGCUCCAUAUUUAUCUUUCAGCUAUGAGGGAAGAGUGAAGACUGGCAUAGGCCUCACUCAGACAAGGAAAUCUAUCAUGAUGAACAGUGUGGUGGAACUUCACCAUUUUCCCACCUUGUCCUUCAACUCCACCAUCCUGACUCAUAAGGCUUCCUCCAGCACCUUCGGGUGAAAGGAAAGGGGAAAGAAGAACAGGAAGAUGUAGAAAUCUGACAUCCUGAGGUAUUACUGCUAGCCUCUGGUGCCACUGUCUUUGGGAUGUGGCCGAUAUCCAAGUGUUGAUAACUAUCUCUGCAGAGGAGUGCCACUGGCUGAAGAAUUAGUAGUCUACUUUACACAGACUCUCCAGGGUGGGGUCACUGCACAUGCAGGUGAUCCGCAAGAAUUCAAAAACCACAUCUAAAAGGUCCACAUAAGACCCAGGUUUAAUGGGAAACAGGGAGAUAGAUCUUAUGCAAAUGAGAAGAGACAGAUGGAGCAGGUAGGGAGAAGAGGGGAGGGAGCCAUAAAAAGAAUUAAGAUGUGUUCUGAACAUGUACUAACUCCUCAUUAUGAAUGUAAUUGUUAUGUACUGCAAACAUACACUAAUAAAAAUUUUAAAAAUUUUCAAAACCAAAACUUUCAAUGCAAGUCCAGUCUAUUUCAACAAUAGGUUUAAUCCUUUUUCUUGGUUUGUCACCAAAGCAUUUCACAUAGCCACUGCCUAUCAUAUAUAGAGUAUAGUUCCAAUAUCUGUGUUCAUAACUCUAAGGGAUACACAUUCACAUCUGAGCAAUUCUCUUAAAUGCCCACUCACUUGGCUCAAGACAUUUAUACACAGCAAUCUAACACCUCUCUCCAAAAAGAACUCCCUGUAUCCAUCUUCCUUUUCUUGAAUAAUUGUGAACCUAUUUUUUUUAAUUUUUAUUUUUAUUAGUGCAUGUUCUGCAGUACACAGUGAUUACAUUCAUCACAAGGAGUUGGUACAUAGACUUAACAUAUCUCAAUUCUCUUUUCAUUUCCUUCUCACCUUCUCUCUCCCAUCCCUUCAUCUCUUGGU